rnacentral:rRNA from 1 species
AACGAACGCUGGCGGCAGGCUUAACACAUGCAAGUCGAACGCACCUUUCGGGGUGAGUGGCAGACGGGUGAGUAACGCGUGGGAAUCUACCCUUCUCUACGGGAUAGCUCCGGGAAACUGGAAUUAAUACCGUAUACGUCCUGAGGGAGAAAGAUUUAUCGGGGAAGGAUGAGCCCGCGUUGGAUUAGCUAGUUGGUGGGGUAAAGGCCUACCAAGGCGACGAUCCAUAGCUGGUCUAAGAGGAUGAUCAGCCACAUUGGGACUGAGACACGGCCCAAACUCCUACGGGAGGCAGCAGUGGGGAAUAUUGGACAAUGGGCGCAAGCCUGAUCCAGCCAUGCCGCGUGAGUGAUGAAGGCCCUAGGGUUGUAAGGCUCUUUCAGUGGGGACGAUAAUGACGGUACCCACAGAAGAAGCCCCGGCUAACUUCGUGCCAGCCGCCGCCGUAAUAC